rnacentral:misc_RNA from 1 species
AAGGAUCAUUAACAAAUCUCUGCGUGCCAGUAGUACCCAGUCGAAAGACUGCUCUACUUGCACACAUAAGCACCCUAGGGCUCACGCCCUAGUGUGAGGGGGACCUACGGAGCAAUCCAGCGGUCCCCACAGGUCAUUCGUGACCACAUUAACGCUUGUUUGUUUGACAGAGUUAUGUGAAUACACAAAUUGACAACUUUUAACAAUGGAUCUCUUGGCUCUU